ACUGGAACCCUUGUGCACUGUUGGGAAUGUAAAAUGGUGCAGCCACUAGAAAAACUAUAUAUCAGUUCCUCAAAAAUCUAAGAAUAGAAUUAUCACCUGGCUCAGGAAUUCCUCUUUUGGGUAUAUACCCCCAAAGAAUUGAAAGCAGGAUCUCAAAGAUAUAUUUGUAUUCCCGUGUUCUUAGCAGCACUAUUCACAACAGCCAAAAAAUGGAUGAAACCCAAGUGUCCACUGACUGAUGAAUGGUAUACAAAAUGUGGUAGAUACAUACAAUGAAAUAUUAUUCAGCCUUAAAAAGGAAGGACAUUUUGACACACGCUAUAACAUUGAUGAGCCUUGAGGACAUUAUGCUAAAUGAAAUAAACCAGUCACAGAAACAUAAAUACUAUGAGACAUAAAAUAAUCCAGUUCAUAAAAUAAGAUUAAAAAGUAGAAUGGUGGUUACCAGGGAUGAAGGGAGGGAGAAAUGGGAAGUUAGUGUUUAAUGGGUACAGAGUUUCAGUUUUGCAAGAUGAAGAAGUUCUGGAGAUGGAUGGUGGUUGUGGCUGCACAGCAGUGUGAAUGUACUUACUAUCACUGAACUUAAAAGUGGUUAAGAUGGCUGACCACACGGAGGACAGACAUGGUUGAAGCAAUGCCACCUGUGUGGGGUGCCUUUCCAAAGGUUCCCCCAAAGGCCUCAGGGCUGACUCUCUUUGGCCCGUGAAAAGUCGCAGACCCAUGCCUGAACCAACCCUUAUGACUGAUGACCACACCAGGGUGGCACAGCCACCUGGGACAAUAAGGGAAUUCUGGCACAGGGAAUGGCAUGAGCAAAGACCCAGCACCAUGAAGCUGGAACAGCAGCACAGCGGGCUGCCCGGAGCAGGCAUAGCAGUUCAGGGUCAGCAGGCACCUUCAGCGCCCCCGAUCAGGGGACAGCAUGAUGGGAUCUGCAAUUUGCAGGCUUCACGUGGCAGCUAAUGGUGGGUGGCCUGGUGGGAGUGGUGACAUUCAGGCCCUCUAGCAUUUCUUCCCAGGUCCUUCUCCCGGUAAAAGAGCCCCUUUCCCUGAGAGCAAAGAGGCUAGCCUGCUCAGAAUGUUUUCAACACAAACAUCUGGGGGUGGGCCCUCCAGGUGUCCUGGGUCAUUGCAAGAAAGAGCUCUUGUGGAAGCAAAUCUAUAAACUCAGUUGCCAGGAAAGUACUUAACUGGCCUCUAUUCAUCCUGCACCAGGCGGCUUCAGAGAGAGAAUGGUCAUACCUCCUCGACAAUAGCCUAUUUGGGCCAGAUCCAGGGUCUGGCUUCUCUGGCACCUAACCACCAGCCUUCCUGCCCCACCCGCCCACAGCAGCUGGUGUGUGGCUGCUGGCAUUGUCUCUGGUACACAGGGGCCAUGCUGGGCUGGGCAGGGCCACGGUGGGGGCCACAUGGCCUUUCUUUAUGCGGCCCCCACAACAACUCCCACCCAAAUCACUCCUCCCCGCUGCCCGGAGUUUUGAACACAGUUCUCGCCCUCUCUCUGGCUCUGCUGGGCAGCGUGGUUAUGUAAUGCGCAGCCAGCCCCCCAAGGCCCUGCCCCCAGCCUGUGGGCAGAGAAUGGGCAGUGCUGCUUUCCCCAGAGUGGAGCUGCUCGGUUCUGGCCCGCACCUGCCUCAGAGCAGGAAGUGGAGCAGAAGGAAAGGUGAAUUAGUUAGAGUGCUCUCAGCUGCAAGGAACAGAAGGCCCAAUGGGAAGGGUCUUGAACAAGGAAGGAGAUGCGUCUCCUGCACGAACAAGCCCCGAGGUACAACAGCCCAGGGCCAGUCCGCUCAGUGCUGCAGUGACAGCCACAGAGGCCGGUGUCAUCUGCAUUCCAUGCUGCCCUCAGUGGGCCAGUUCUGCUCUUGGGCCAGUCUCCCUCGUGACCACCAGCUUGCUGCCACUGCUCCAGGCAUCACAUUGAGACAUGACCACACCCAGCAGAGGGACCACCUCUUCCUGGAUAGUCUUUUUACUAGAGUUAGGGAACUUUUCCCAGAAUCCCCGUAGCAGCUUCUGUCCUAUUUCACUGGUCAGAAUUGCGUCACACCCAUUCUCGGUCAGCCUCCAGCAAAGGGCACAGAAAAGCCAUGACUGGCUUAAGGGCAGGAACGACCCCCACAGCACGGGCUUCUGAUACUCCAGCGUAGCCCGGCAGCAUCUGCUGCACCAAGACAGAAAGGUUCCUCCCACCCAGAGAUCGGUGGAGAGGGAAUUGGGGCUCUAGUCCUGCCUUCUCCACCAGUCACUGCCUGACCCUGGACACGUCAGGCCCCCAUCAGUCUCCCACCUGGCAGGCAUUCUCUCUUCACACCCUGAUUUGGCUGGGCGGCAAUGUGCCCAGACAGGGGGUGGGUCAUCACUCCGUAAGCAGUUGUGGCAGCAGCUCUGCCCUUUGUUAAUAUCUGCCUGGGCAGCCUCCACUGCAACUAGGGGUAACCAGGUGAGCUAUUCCCAGGCAUGAGAAAGAAGGGGACCCCUCUGGGAUCUUUCUGGGAAAGAUUUCUUCUACAAGGGAAGUCCCCCCGCCCUUUACUCAGACAUGCCAACCUCAUGCUUUGACGUUACUGGACUGUACCACAACCCUGGAACCAUAUAGAUUUGUUAUAUGAGUAAAAUAAACUCCUGUUCAAUUAAACCCCCA